UAUCACGUCAACGGUGGGGCCGUCAAACGAAACAUGGCGACCAUUAGGUUAUUGCUAUGAGUGCUGCCUGGUUUUCUAUCGUUAAAUGUGGAAUCAUCGUGCGUUGUGCGGGCUGACGCGAAGCGUCGUGUCCUCGGGGAGGCAAACGCGUCGCUUUAAACUCUACACAACCCGCGUACAUUGCUCCUAGUGCCGAUUCAAUGAAAAGAAUCGGUCUCGUCAACAGUGGCUUGUGGGUAUACACACCCCGACGCGAGACUCCCGAGUGGUUUUAUGGCAUAUCGAGCAUUUUUCUACUAUUUUGAAAUUUUAUCUAUAAUGCACCUAGUAGAAGUGUGAUUUGCGUGGAAAAAUCACAAAUUCUUCACCGCGUUGUUGUCGGACUCGCGAAUCAAAAUGCCGGUCAUCGUUAAAGUGUUUUUAUGCAUGGGGUGUUAGUGGUGGUGAUCACCUCCUCUCACCCCACAUUUUUCUUGUAAAUUCUCUGUGUAUAUUUAAAUUAUUACCGAAACAUGAAAGAACUGUUUCACAUUCGUGUAUCAUUUAUGAUUUUGACAAAUAUGUAGAAAAGAAAUGUGAAAUGUGUAAGGAUGUGUAUAGUGGUGGAAAAAUAAUACAAGGUGGAUAUAGACUUCUUAUACAUGUUUGUUCAGUUUCUCUUUGGAAGAACUAAUAAUACAUCAGAAGUGUUCUAUAUUAUUUGUGCUUUGACUGAUAAAUAUUGCACGAAGGUUAUAAGACAAAAAGGUGUAAUUUCCAGAAAGGAAAAGAUUAAGAAGAGUGUAAGGCCAUAUGCCGCCAGCCGGGCUAUCGGCAAGAGGCUUGUCUACCUUGAUGGACCACGGACAACCGGAUGCUCGUCAUCGGAGCGAGCGGUUUCUACUUCAUCCAGAGAAUGGCUCCUCUAAUUCCCAUAGUACUAGCACAGCCAAUUCAUCUCCACGAUAUCAACAUAAUAGUAGAACAAAUAAUCAUUCCACAAGUUACGGAUAUUUGUAUGGACGCGCAUCCAGCAACAAUAUGUCUGAUAGCAGUGUUUCUGAUACGCAUAGUGGUGGUACUGCAAGAACUGUUUCUCAACAGACUAGUCCAUCUCAUGGUACACAUUCCUCUUCUCAAUCAAGACAAGACAAUAGUUCAACAAUUUUCACUGCAUUAUUCGAUUACGUUGCCCAAGGCGAAGAUGAGUUAUCUUUACAAAGAGGUGAAACAGUCGAGGUUCUAUCUAAGGAUUCAAAAAUCUCAGGUGAUGAAGGAUGGUGGACUGGAAAAAUUCAUGGAAAAGUUGGUAUUUUUCCAGCCAAUUUUGUUGCAGAAGCAGAUAGCAUCGAUCGAGUUUCAUCGGUGAUUGACAAAGUUCAACCGGUUGAAAUCGAUUUUGAAGAGUUACAAUUAGAAGAAGUAAUAGGGGUUGGUGGAUUUGGGAAAGUUUAUAGAGGAUUCUGGCAGAAACACGAAGUAGCUGUUAAAGCAGCUCGCCAGGAUCCAGACGAAGAGCCAAGUGUGACAUUAGAAAAUGUUCGACAAGAAGCAAAAUUAUUUUGGUUACUGAAACAUGAGAACAUUGUGCAAUUAGAGGGGGUUUGUUUAAAAAUGCCAAAUAUGUGUCUUGUAAUGGAAUACGCACGAGGUGGUAGUUUGAACAGGGUUCUUAGUGGUAGAAAAAUCAGGCCUGAUGUACUUGUUGAUUGGGCAAUACAAAUUGCCCGUGGCAUGGACUACCUUCACAAUAAAGCUCCUAUAAGUCUUAUUCACAGGGACCUAAAAAGUUCUAAUGUGUUAUUGAGUGAACCUAUAGAAAAUGAUGAUCUACAGUAUAAAACAUUGAAAAUAACUGACUUUGGAUUAGCAAGGGAAGUUUAUAAGACAACUCGCAUGUCAGCAGCAGGCACAUAUGCUUGGAUGGCACCAGAGGUUAUUAAAAAGAGUACUUUCAGUAAAGCCAGUGAUGUUUGGAGUUACGGCGUGCUUUUAUGGGAACUUUUAACUGGUGAAACUCCUUAUAAAGGAAUAGAUGCUUUAGCUGUAGCGUAUGGCGUUGCUGUAAAUAAACUUACAUUGCCCAUUCCAUCAACUUGUCCUCAACCUUGGAGGUUUUUGAUGGAAGCAUGUUGGGCAUCUGAUAGUCAUUCGAGGCCUGGAUUUGCUGAGAUUCUAGUAGCACUAGAUGAAGUACGUAGUGCAUUUGCAGCAACACCGCAUGAAUCAUUUCAUACGAUGCAAGAAGAUUGGAGGCUUGAAAUUGAACAAGUUCUUCAUGGAUUGCGCAUGAAGGAAAAGGAAUUGCGCUGUAGAGAAGAAGAAUUGACAAAAGCACAAGUACAACAACGACAACACGAAGAAAACUUGAGACAGCGAGAACAAGAACUAGCUGCUCGUGAGAUAGACUUAUUAGAGCGGGAACUUACAGUAAUGAUAAUUCAACAACAAAAUACUCCAACACCAAACAAGAGGCGUGGAAAAUUCAAGAAGUCGAGAUUAAAGUUCAAUAAAAAAGAACCUGGGAGUAAUAUAAGUGCUCCGUCUGAUUUUCGUCACACGAUAACGGUUCAACAUACAGCAUUGGAUCGGGGAAAAGUGCGAAAUCCAUCACGACCGAAUAGCCCACCAGGCUCGCCUAGUAUUCCAAGAUUACGUGCAAUUGCGUUACCAGCAGAUGGAGUGAAGGGUAAGACUUGGGGACCGUCAACACUCCACCAACGCGAGCGCGGGGCUAUUAUCACACAGCCACCAAAUCCUGCAUCUCCAGGUGGCAAGCGGUGGUCUCGUUCUGCUCCAGAUCUUGAAAAGACACCUCUGCGUACCGCCCUGUUGGCACAUCGCUCCCCGCUUCUUCAAGAAAUAGAUUAUCCGGCUCUACCACCUGAUCUGUCAACUGACUGGGUAACAUCAGAUUAUCCUUUGAAACCUGGAUUAACCGGACCUUACAUCAUGCCAAUGCCUGUACCAAUGCCAACUCUUUAUAAUGGAGAAAUGAAGAAACCAAAGUUAAGCAUAAUAGAGCUGGUUUUAUACAAUAUUGCGGCUAUGUUAGCUGGAGUAGCAACUGGAUACGAUGUAAGAAUGUCAAACAUAUCUCCAAUUCAUCCAAGACUGUAUCCAAGGCUUGGUGAAUGUGAAGAUGAACCACCACGAUGGUGGUUCCAAGCAGACACCGGAUCAAAUCGUAAUUCGGGUCAUCUUGGACCUGAUUACGAAUUUAGUUCCAGUAGUGGAUAUCCUCAUAACACGUAUCAUGGACCAGCAAGACAUUACAGGCCAUUUUUGAGUAACAUGGGUGGUAUAGCACCUGGCCUUCCACCCAGUGUUAUGCCUGACAAACCCUUAAGAUUUACUGAUUCACCUCAACAUUAUGCAAGCAGUACAAGUUCGAAUGCACCAACGCCAAGUCCUAGGAGAAAGAGUAGUAGUACGAGUAAUGAAGAUGUGUACACUCACGAGACAGGAAGGGUUGAUAGGAUGGAAAGAGUACCAACAAUAUACAUGGGUAAUGUUGCACCUUUUCCAGACUAUGGACCUCCUGUAUACACCGUUGUUCCACCAGAAUAUUAUAGACCACCAGAACCAACGUAUUUUGUACCUACAGAUUAUCAUGAUAGAAUGCUUGAAUGCCCUGAAUUUCCACAUGCUUAUGAUAAUCCGAGCAGUAUAAACAGUCCAGCUCGACCAGUGUCGAGGCUUCCUUCGUACACCCACCAUCGUACUUCAUCAAAUGUCUCAAACGCGAGCACAUCGAGUCAAAGUAACAUUAAUCCAACGUUUCGCUUGGAAGACGAGGACGAUUAUUCUUUGUAUUCACCUGGACAUUAUUAUCAACGAUCUUCAGCUAUUAUUUCCAACGUAGGAACGUAUAGCCCCAGUAUGCUUAAUCACGAUUAUGGUUCACAAUUAUUAACGCGUCAGAAUUCUCAUGAUUCAAAUUCAAAUUCAGGAGAUAGACCGAGUAAUUUAGAAGUAGUUAACCGAUUACGAUCAAGCUUGAAACGAUCAAAUUAUUCGUAUAAUUCUCCGAAUAAAAGUGUUAGCAAAAAUAAUUCAGGUUCGGGUACACCAACAAAUCCUACUCCACCAGAUUCUCUGACAUCCGAGGACUCUAGUUACGUUUCGGCUAAAGAUAGUCAAAUUUCUAUAAGUAGGGUUCGAUUUUCUCCGGUGACAUUUGAUAGAGAUGGAGUAUCGCGUGAGCACAGAGAAACAUUACUUGAUAUUCCUGUACAUGGACAAACUCAAGACGCUACUGUUCCGUUGCAAGCUAAUCGACGAAUAAAUAGAGGUAGAAAACCAAGUAUUUCUGAAUUAGAAAGAGAAUUUUUGUCAUAGCAUUGGCUUAUUUAAAAUCGUGAACAUAAUAAAAAAUAACGCUCUAAAGAAUUUGUCAAUCUUGAAAGUAAUAUUCAAUUACAAACGAUACGAAAUUGAAGAGUACAUAACGCAGCAGAAAUUUAUUAAAUCAUUGUAACUAUAGAAGAUACAGCGAUGCACGUUGUCAAAGCACUGCCUCCUGCAAAAGAUUUUAUCAUGUAUUAAUGCAGGUCAUUGAGUACAGUAAGAGUUUAACAUUCCAUAUAUAUAUAUAUAUAUUAUAUAUAUAAUACUGAGAUAUCCUUAUAAAAGACUCUUAUAUUCAAUUAGACUGUUUUUAAUUUUGGUGAAGAACUGGUAUGUCUCAUGUACGUUUUGUAGGAAUAGUAUGAAUGCCAGAAUUACAUGGUAAUAUGCAACAUUAUAAAACGUUAUUUAAAUUCUACUUUAUGUAUUACAAAUAUUUUAUUCAUACAUUCCGCACAUUAUGCAUCUGCUGUUAGCAUUGAACAUGUAAAUACUAUAUAUUUCUAUCAUUCUCAUGAUCAUCUAAAACAUUUGAGAAAAAAAAUAAAUAUUUUAAUUCAAAUGUUCUCAGAGAAAUCGUAUAUAAGAUAAUAUAUACGUAAUUGUUAUAUUAAACAGUUGAAAACGAUAUUAAUCCCCUUUUUUUAAAUAUUAAGAAUUGAAUUAUAUUUCAUUGACUUGUUCAUCUAAUGCUACUUCAGAGAAAUGAAACAUUAUUAUUCCUUUGAUUAUAUCAUUAUUAAUGUUAACAGCAAAUUUACAUUCCACCAAACUUUUUUGUGACUGAUAAAUUAAUUGAAUGUUGAAUAAUUGUACAAUGAAACAUAAUUAGGAAAACAUUGAUGAUAGUUCAACAAAACUGUUUAUAAUUUUCCUUAUGAUUACACAAAUUUUAUAUUGUAAACGAUAGACAAUAUAGUAACUUCUUUUUAAAUCACAAUAUUUUCCUAAGUUUUAUAAUGAGAUCCUAUGAGAUCUACAAUGAAUUACAUUUUUCUGUUGCCAUUAAAUUGUCAUGUUUCAUGUACAGUUUUAUUAUUCUUCAAUUUUUAUACAAAUACCAUGGCACUAGAUACACGUGUGAAAAAUUUGUACAGUAGAAAUUUUAAUGCAUUUGUGAGUUAGCAACGUGAUAGACUAUAUUUAAUACGCUAUGAUGAUUAAAAGUAACACUUCUUUUAUAUGUAAAAACAAGUAUGCAUUCAAGUGAUUGGCGUACCUGUAGAAAAGUGUCUAACAUGUUUAGUCUACCUAUAAAGAACUACAUACAUAUGUAGCUGUCUAAGGUGUGAUAUACUUUCAAAAUUAUUUUAAAACAAAAACACUCCAUAUACAUAAUCAUCAUUGUACAUACAAGUAUCGAGAACAGUUAUUGUUUGCUUAAUGAUGUAAGAAUAGUUCAUACAUUCCUUUAUAUCGGUCACGUUGUGUAAAGUAUACUUAAAAUAUUUCUCAGAUUUCUAAGUGCACGAGAAUGUCCCAGAAAUUAUUUUUUACUUACUUAAGAUACUAAUAUAUAAUCAGGAUACCGGGUCUUGAAAAAGUGUAAAUUUUUUUUCCUUUUUUCAUUUAAUCAUAAAAAAGGGAAAAAAAUCAAUUCUUGUAAACCCUCUAUUCUGAGUUAUAUUCUGUAUUUUCACAAAUAUGAAAACAAAAUGAGCUAAACUUAAUUUCUUAUUUGUGAAUAUGUUUAAUUUAUUGGUUCAGCAAAGAAUAACAGCUAACAAACUAUUUGAAUUAAACUUAUGUAAACUAAUCAAAACAACAAAUUUAUUUACUUGUUGCGUAUAUUCUACGCCGUUAUACGGUAUCAAAAUAACUCAUUUAUCUCAUUAACAUCAUGUAAAAUGAAAAAGCGAUAGUUUUGUUUCAAAAACUAUAUGUUUUUUAUAAUGAUUUCCUGAAUGAUAAUCAGUAUUGUAGGAUAUGUCUCAAUGUACAUAAAAUACAGUAGAGUUACAAAAAGAAAAAAGAGAUAAACUUUGAAAAAGUAUUUUUUUGGUAAUUUCUAAUAUUUAUUUGAUAUGUACAAUGUAAUCUUUUCUCAGUGUGCAGUAUCAAUUUUGAUCUCUAAUAGUUUCUUUUGUUAUGUAAUAUUUGAAAUACUUUACUCAGAAUUUUCCAAAGAACAAUUAAUUGAAUAUACUGCAAAGACAAUUGAGUCUUUCUUAAAAUACUCUAUUUAAUUGGAACUAAUAUUAUAUAAAAAUUGAUUACAUACAAUGUUGAAUGUUCAAUUCAAAGUUCAAUUUGUGAAAUCUUUCAUAAGUAAGGAUAAUUAAUCAGUUGACUGAAAUAUUUAUGAUGUUAUUAAAGACAUAGAGUAAAUAUUUCAUGGAUAUGCCUUUCUAUGUUGUACAAAGAUAUUUUGCGGUGCUAGUAUCAUGUACUUAAUACGUUAAGAGCAACAAAAAAAUUGAAAAUGCUUCCAAGAAGGAAUAUUUGGAGAAAUAUGGAAUG